rnacentral:rRNA from 1 species
GACGAACGCUGGCGGCGUGCCUAAUACAUGCAAGUCGAACGCAGUGGGGACGGGUGAGUAACACGUGGGUAACCUCCCAUCAGAGGGGAUAACACUUGGAAACAGGUGCUAAACCGCUACUGAUGGAUGGACCCGCGGUGCCUUCGCUAGUUGGUGAGGUAACGGCUCACCAAGGCCACGAUGCAUAGCCGACUGGGAGGGGUGAUCGGCACCACGGUGACUGAGACACGGCCCAGAUGCCAACGGGAGGCAGAAGGAGGGAAUCUUCGGCAAUGGACGAAAGUCUGCCCGAGCAACGCCGGGUGAGUGAAGAGGGUUUUCGGAUCGUAAAACUCUGUUGUUAGAGAAGCGGUAUCUAACCAGAAAGUCACGGCUAACUACGUGCCAGCCGCCGCGGUAAUUC